ACGGGUGAGUAACGCGUGGGAACAUACCCUUCGGUUCGGAAUAACUCAGGGAAACUUGAGCUAAUACCGGAUACGUCCGAGGUUUUAAUCGACCUUGGAGAAAGAUUUAUCGCCGGAGGAUUGGCCCGCGUCUGAUUAGCUUGUUGGUGAGGUAAUGGCUCACCAAGGCGACGAUCAGUAGCUGGUCUGAGAGGAUGAUCAGCCACAUUGGGACUGAGACACGGCCCAAACUCCUACGGGAGGCAGCAGUGGGGAAUAUUGGACAAUGGGCGAAAGCCUGAUCCAGCCAUGCCGCGUGAGUGAUGAAGGCCUUAGGGUUGUAAAGCUCUUUUACCCGGGAAGAUAAUGACGGUACCGGGAGAAUAAGCCCCGGCUAACUUCGUGCCAGCAGCCGCGG
rnacentral:rRNA from 1 species